GCUUUUGCAGGGAAGGGAGUGGGGCGAACAUGGCUGAACGCAGCCGGGGCGAUCCAACGUGCAGCGGGGUGGGCAGCCGGCAGGACACGAUCCCCAGCAGUGGUGGCUGCAACUUUCCAGAGUACGAGCUUCCCGAGCUAAACACACGCGCUUUCCACGUGGGCGCCUUCGGGGAGCUGUGGCGUGGCCGGCUACGCGGACAAGGGGACUUAUCGCUGAAGGAGCCGCCGGCGUCGGUGCUGCCUGGGUGCGGAGGGGUCGCCGACUCCAGCCGGGAGGAUGCCGCGGUGACCCGGGAUCUGGGCUGCAGCCUGGAGGCGGCGGCCGAGCUGAGGGCAGUUUGCGGCCUUGAUAAACUGAAGUGCCUUGAGGAAGCUGAGGAUCCAGAAGUCAUCCCAGAGGACACUGACCUAGUGACGUUGGGAGUUCGAAAGAAGCUUUUGGAACAUCGGGAAGAAACCAUAACGAUAGAUCGGGUCUGCAGACAAGAAACAUUUGCUUAUGAGAUGGAGUCACAUGCCAUAGGGAAAAAGCCUGAAAAUCCAGCAGACAUGAUUGAAGAAGGGGAGCUUAUCCUAUCUGUGAAUAUCUUGUACCCGGUUAUAUUUCAUAAGCACAAAGAACACAAACCAUACCAGACGGUGCUAGUGCUGGGCAGUCAGAAGCUCACGGAACUCAGGGAUGCGAUUUGCUGUGUCAGCGACCUCCAGAUCGGGGGGGAAUUCAGCAGCACCCCCGACCAAGCCCCUGAGCACGUCAGCAGAGACUUGUACAAAUCAGCCUUCUUUUAUUUUGAAGGAACAUUUUACAAUGAUAAAAGAUACCCUGAGUGCAGAGAUUUGAGCAGAACAAUUAUUGAGUGGUCAGAGUCCCAUGAUAGAGGCUAUGGAAAGUUUCGCACUGCUCAAAUGGAAGACUUCACCUUCAAUGACUUGCAUAUUAAACUGGGUUUUCCCUACUUAUACUGUCACCAGGGAGACUGUGAACAUGUUGUUGUCAUUACUGAUAUAAGGCUUGUGCAUCGUGAUGACUGCUUGGAUAGGACACUUUAUCCCCUUCUUAUCAAGAAGCAUUGGCUAUGGACCAGAAAAUGUUUUGUUUGUAAAAUGUACACAGCCAGAUGGGUGACGAACAAUGACAGUUUUGCACCAGAGGACCCAUGUUUCUUUUGUGACGUUUGCUUCCGAAUGCUCCACUAUGAUUCAGAAGGCAACAAACUGGGGGAAUUUCUCGCUUAUCCUUAUGUUGAUCCUGGAACCUUUAAUUAAUAACCAACAACAGAAGUGUACCCUUGUGAAAUUAAAGGUCCUCUUGGAUGGUUCCUUUAUUUCCAAAUGCCAGAGGAACAGGAUCAACCUGAAACAAUCAUGUAAAGUUACCCCCAUAUGCCCCGGAAGAAAUUUCAAAUCACAGGUUUUUUUAAUAAUUUGUAUUUACAUGCUUAGAAGUAUAUUAUGUUGAUAUUUAUUUUGAAGGCUAGUUAUUUAGUGCUUUUGCCCAUUUUUAAAUGUCCUUUAUCUUACUGAGUUGUAGGAGUGCUUUUAUGUAUUCUGAAUACAAAUCCUGUCAGGCACAUGUAUUCUGAUUUUCUACCAGUCUGUCACUUGCCUAAUCAUUGUGUCCAGAAUGCUUUUUGCUAAUCAUUAGCAAAAUUCAGUUAAUGAUACUUCAAGUGGUGGAAGUGUUUUGGAAAUUCUUUGAAGAAUGUGAGAGCUACACCGUGUACCAUGAAGCUUCCAAGGUUAUAUUUAAAUUCAACUGAAUUCCACAUUCCCUGGAUGGUUAAGAACAUUUACCAUAUAAAUCAAGCCUAUAAGCCCUUGUAUUUAAAAGGGUUACAGUGAAAUGUUUUAUGGACUUAAAUGUAGGACUUACUCAGUUAAGUCAACUGGUGUGUAGGUGACAAGCAUGUUUUUAGUAUGUCUGGUGGUGGUCUCACUGAUUGAGUCAAUACAUCGGAGGAGCAAUGUAAAGAACUAAGAGGUCCCUCCACGGCUGCUUUAUUUAUUCCUAAAUUUUUACUUUCAAGUUUCCAAUGAUGCUAAAUAGAACUGAUUUAAAGUUCUGCUGGAAAACCAUAAAUUUAUUCCAAUUCUUCACAGUUCCACAGGUAAAAAUAAAUUUUUGCUGUAUUUUUAAACUGCAUUCCUUACAGAUCUUAAUUAGUAUAGAAGGGUCUUUUUACUUUUAUUCAGUUUCAUCAUUUCAUAUUCUCAAAACAGAAAAUUCUAGAAUUAUCAUAACGGAAGCAGUAAUCCAUGUGUGGUGCCAAUCAGUUCAUUUUAGUGGAUAAAGCAUACUGCAACUGAAAUUCUUGUUUUAUCAUUUAUUGAGAAUAUUAUCCUGCUGAAUAAUAUUAACUUUUUCACCAGCUGUUUUACAAAGGCUCGGAUAUCUGUUAUUUCCUGGUGUAAUCUAGAGUGGAAAGGCGAACCAGGUUACUCCCAGAAUUUACCAAUGUGUUGUGUGUCGGUUAUACAGGUCUCCCACUGAAAGAAACUCCUUUCAAAUAGGCAUAAAAAAUGGCUUGAAUCAAGGGAUUUUUACAGCUGCGAAAUUCAAUGUUAAACAUCACAUGACUUAAAUUAUGUAUUCUACCUAAUGAAAAGCAGCUAUAAAAAUGAUGUCGUGAACUUACCCAUCACCAUCCUGUGUAUGUAAAAAAAAUUAGAUUUUGAUAUAACAGUGGAUGGAAAUGCACAAAAUCACUACCUAGAAAAGCAAUACCUAUUUCCUUGAACAUCUUUUCUAGACUUCAGUUCCCUUUAAGGCUAACUGAUCUCUCCCCCAAUCACAUCACAAUGUCUUUAUCAUCUCCAAGGCUGGAGAAUCACAUAGCACAAAUAAUGAACACAUUUCUGCCUAUAUGGCAGCUUCUUCAUUUCUUAAGGUGUAAUUAUGGGUUUGCUAUUUCCAAUAGAUGAUCCUUUCUCUGGCCAAUGGGACUAAGUUGUUAGUGAAGCCCUCACAGAGCCCUGUAAAAGCCUUGCUCUUGUAUAGGCCACCUCAUCUUGACCUGACACGUUCAACCAGGUAAGUGUGUGUGGGUACACUACAAUCAAUGUAUCAUCCUACUAUUUGAAACCACAGGCUACAAUAGCAAUUACAGG